rnacentral:rRNA from 1 species
ACUCCUACGGGAGGCAGCAGUAGGGAAUAUUGGUCAAUGGGCGAAAGCCUGAACCAGCCAUGCCGCGUGUCAGAUGAAGGUCCUCUGGAUUGUAAAUGACUUUUCUACGGGAAGAAUGAGCCGUCUGCGGACGGAAGUUGACGGUACCGUAGGAAUAAGCACCGGCUAACUACGUGCCAGCAGCCGCGGUAAUACGUAGGGGUGCAAGCGUUGUCCGGAUUUACUGGGGUUUAAAGGGUACGUAGGCGGUUGUGCCAAGUCUGGGGUGAAAGUUUGCAGCUCAACUGUAAAAAUUGCCUUGGAUACUGGUCGGCUAGAGUAGUGGAGCGGUGGCUGGAAUUUAUAGUGUAGCGGUGAAAUGCUUAGAUACUAUGAGGAACACCAAUUGCGAAGGCAGGUCACUGGUCACUAACUGACGCUGAGGUACGAAAGUGUGGGGAUCAAACAGGAUUAGAUACCCUGGUAGGAGUAG